rnacentral:rRNA from 1 species
CCUACGGGAGGCAGCAGUGGGGAAUAUUGGACAAUGGGGGGAACCCUGAUCCAGCCAUGCCGCGUGUGUGAAGAAGGCCCUCGGGUUGUAAAGCACUUUCAGUGAGGAAGAACGCCUGGUGGUUAAUACCCAUCAGGAAAGACAUCACUCACAGAAGAAGCACCGGCUAACUCCGUGCCAGCAGCCGCGGUAAUACGGAGGGUGCGAGCGUUAAUCGGAAUUACUGGGCGUAAAGCGCGCGUAGGUGGCUUGAUAAGCCGGUUGUGAAAGCCCCGGGCUCAACCUGGGAACUGCAUCCGGAACUGUCAAGCUAGAGUGCAGGAGAGGAAGGUAGAAUUCCCGGUGUAGCGGUGAAAUGCGUAGAGAUCGGGAGGAAUACCAGUGGCGAAGGCGGCCUUCUGGACUGACACUGACACUGAGGUGCGAAAGCGUGGGUAGCAAACAGGAUUAGAUACCCCUGUAGUC